rnacentral:rRNA from 1 species
UACGUAGGGCGCAAGCGUUGUCCGGAAUUAUUGGGCGUAAAGAGCUCGUAGGCGGCUUGUCACGUCGGGUGUGAAAGCCCGGGGCUUAACCCCGGGUCUGCAUUCGAUACGGGCUAGCUAGAGUGUGGUAGGGGAGAUCGGAAUUCCUGGUGUAGCGGUGAAAUGCGCAGAUAUCAGGAGGAACACCGGUGGCGAAGGCGGAUCUCUGGGCCAUUACUGACGCUGAGGAGCGAAAGCGUGGGA